rnacentral:rRNA from 1 species
GACAGAGGCCUCGAGCGUUAGGCGGAAUCACUGGGCUUAAAGCGUGUGUAGGCGGGCCCGUAAGUGUCUUGUGAAAUCCCCCGGCUCAACCGGGGAACGGCUGGGCAUACUGCGGGUCUUGGGCCGACUAGGGGCAGCCGGAACAAGCGGUGGAGCGGUGAAAUGCGUAGAUAUCAGGAGGAACACCGAUGGCGAAGGCAGGUCUCUGGGCUAUAACUGACGCUCAUGCACGAAAGCGUGGGGAGCAAACAGG